UGGGUGGGAGGCUGUCACACUGUGGUGGAA
rnacentral:piRNA from 1 species